rnacentral:rRNA from 1 species
AGUAAAAGUCGUAACAAGGUUUCCGUAGGUGAACCUGCGGAAGGAUCAUUAUUGAAAUAAACCUGAUGAGUUGCUGCUGGUUCUCCAGGGAGCAUGUGCACACUUGUCAUCUUUAUAUCUCCACCUGUGAACCUUUUGUAGACCUGAAUAUCUCUCUGAAUGCCUGCAAAAAUUCAGGUUUGAGGAUUGAUUCUUCUCUUUCCUCGCAUUUUCAGGUCUAUGUUUUUCAUAUACCCCCAUGUAUGUUUAUAGAAUGUAAUAAACGGGCCUUUGUGCCUAUAAACUUAUACAACUUUCAGCAACGGAUCUCUUGGCUCUCGCAUCGAUGAAGAACGCAGCGAAAUGCGAUAAGUAAUGUGAAUUGCAGAAUUCAGUGAAUCAUCGAAUCUUUGAACGCACCUUGCGCUCCUUGGUAUUCCGAGGAGCAUGCCUGUUUGAGUGUCAUUAAUAUAUCAAUCCUCUUCAGCCUUUUGGCUGGUGAGUGGUGGAAGGGGGGGUUAUUCUUUUUUGGUGGAAUCUUCUUUGAAGUCCGCUUCCCUAAAAUACAAUAAGAAAACCAUUUGUUUACUGGUCCUUGGUGUGAUUACUAUCUACCCCUAUGAUGGUAAAGCACCAUUUAACUUCUAGCAGUUCAAUGACUUGGACAAUCCUUUUAUUCAAAUGUGACCUCAAAUCAGGUGGACUACCCGCUGAACUUAAGCAUAUCAAUAAGCGGAGGAAAGAAACUAACAGGAUUCCCCUAGUACUGCGAGUGAAGCGGGAAAAGCUCAAAUUUAAAUCUGGCAGUCUUUGGCUGUCGAGUUGUAUCUAAAGAAUGCUAUCCGCGCUGACCGCGCUGUAAUCCGCUUUCUCUUGA